CCCCUAGAUGUUCUGGGCCGCACGCGCGCUACACUGAACAGUUCAACAAGUCUUAACCUUGGCCGAUAGGUCUGGGUAAUCUUUGAACGCUGUUCGUGAUUGGGAUAGACCUUUGCAAUUAUGGGUCUUCAACGAGGAAUUCCUAGUAAACGCAAGUCAUCAGCUUGCAUUGAUUACGUCCCUGCCCUUUGUACACACCGCCCGUCGCACCUACCGAUUGAAUGGUCCGGUGAAAUCUCGGGACGGCGGCUUGGUCGCUUGCGUCCGACUGCUGAAACUUGAUUAAACCAUAUCAUUUCGAGGAAGGUGAANUCGUAACA
rnacentral:rRNA from 1 species